rnacentral:ncRNA from 1 species
CAUCUUCAGGGCAGGGUGCAAUUCCCGACCGGCGGUAAAAGUCCGCGAGCGUCCUUGUGCGCAUGAACCGGUGUGAUUCCGGUACCGACAGUGAUAGUCUGGAUGGAAGAAGAG